rnacentral:lncRNA from 1 species
AGGCUCAAAUUUAGUUCAAAAGGGGUUAUGAAAUGUAUUGAGGAUGAUAGGUGAAUGAAAACCAAGUAUUCAAGUUGAACCAACACAAUAUAAGUGUGUUAACCCGGGACUUAUACGAAUACUUAGGAAAGGUUAAAUGUUGUAUGGAUGGAAAACGAAUAAAAUGGAACCUUGACCCACUAUCAAAGAUGAUAGGAACCUCGGUAUAACUUGAACGCCACACUUUUGGGAUUAAAGUGAUAAGUUCGGAUAGAAAGACGGAUGACGCCACAAGGGUUACUUGAUAAGUCAGACGAGUCUUUGGAGAACAAUGAGAGUUGAAAAAACACUCACAAAGUAAUCAUAUAUCAUAUAAGAUUCAAAAGUAUAUUGUCUAACCCGAAAAUGAUUACAAAGCAACUAUUUAUAGCUAAUAUUGAAUGUCAAACCGAAUGGUCACAAAAGGUAGAUAAAUGGACAGUUUUAGUUCAGCUUAAUUAAGUUGAAAUUGCUUGGAAGCUUCCUUAAUUGUCCCUUGUAGUUUCCUAGGUCUCUUGGGUUAGAAAUCUAAAAAGAAAUAACUUCUAGAAUGAGAGGAUUCGGCUGGACAUUGAUGGAGAACUUUAUGGACUAGUCCCGAUUCGGCCUUGAUACUUUAAAAUGGCUUUAAAAGCUUCUUUGGGUAGUGUAAAGUUCGGCCUUGAAGAGAGGAAACGCCAAGCAUGAUGUUGGCCGAAUGGCUACUUGGAAAAACCAACCAACAGCCCUUUGUUGUUCACGAAAAUAGCACCUACUUCAGCACCUCAUUAAUGGACGAAUCUUGCAUGCCCAACAGCACCUUAAAUGCAUGUCUAUGCUUUACAUUAAAUUCGGCCAACACCUCCUUUAUUGCUGCUGUUGAACACGAAAAAAAAAUUAACUCAGCAGCUAGUUAAUGCCAUGCAUGCAAGCUCCAGCAACUAAUUAAUGCCGUCCAUGCAUGGGAACACCUCAUUUAAUUCAUGUCUUUGCUUCCCUUUAAAUGCCGUUCCUUGCAUGUAGAACAGCAACUUAAAUGCAUGUCUCCUUUGCCAUUAAGUAGUUGUUUCCAGCUGAAUUAAUUACCUGCAGACACAAAAUAAAUUCGGUCAAGACAUAAAUUAAACCUCAUUAAAUUCGGCAGCCUCCUUUAAUACAUAAUUAACUCAUGCAUGAAACAAACAAGUUAAUUAACAUAUUAAUUUUGGUUGGACAAUAAAAACAACAAUAAAUUCGUCACUUUUAAAGAACUUAAAACACAUUUAAUACUACUCUUUAAUUCGGCUGAAACUAAUAAAAAACAUUAAUAAAUUCAGCAUAUUAAAUAGAUGUAAUAAAUAAAACACAAUCAAUUAAACUAAAAAAAUUAUUAAAGAUGUUCUGAUUUAAACAUAUUAAUUUACUAACACUUAUUUGAGCUGAAUUAAAUAAAUAAACUAACUUAUUCAAUUUAUUUCAGCAAAUGAAAUCAAAAGAAUUAAAAUAAACUCAAAUUGAGCAAAACGAUCCCAUUGAGCUGGAAACGAGCUAAACAAAGCUCAGUGAGAUGAACCACACGAAAAGAAAUUCAAAUGAGCUAAAAAUUAGCUUCAUCUUGCACUUGGGGCCCUCAUGUUUAGGCCAAUCUCGACGGCGUUGGGUUGUGACAUUACAUGAUGCGAUCAGGAUCACAUCAUACCCUCCCUCUUGAAGACGAUUUGUCCUCAAAUCGGGCCACUUGCUCGAAAAAAAAAAUUUUCAAGAUCUCGAACCCUUUUGUGCAUGACCCGAAUAGAAUCAUUUCCAAAACUUUGAAAAUCACGAAUGGUUAGAGAAAAUUUUGAAUUAUUUCCACGCCCUCCCUCUUUUGGAGGGAACCAAUUUAGAGUGUCACCUACACGAGAAUGAAAGGAAUUAGAGACACUAAAAAUUAUAAAAACAAAUGAUCUUUUUAGAUGCUUAUUCAAAAUUGGGAUGCUUAACCCAAUGCCAGGAUCAAAAAUGAAAUUCGGUCUUACCUUUCCAAAAUGAAUCAAAAAUUUCAUGGAUAGAAACAAAUCCGAACCACAAAACAGUCGAAAGGCAUAAUCUCGAAAGUCAAAAUUGCAAAAUCCAAACCCUUUUAACAAGAACAAAGAAUAAUAAUCUCCGGGGUCAAAAACGAAGCUUCCUCUUGCUUGGCUUGACGUUAACUUAGGAAUGUAUAUCCCAGGUUUAAAAACGCGAUUUUCAUUGGUCGUUUCGCAACGUAACGAAAAUUUCUUCUUCACCAAGACUUCACACAUGUCAAGCAAAUAGGAGUUAGGCAUACAUACAUUCGAGCAAUCAAACCCUUCAUAUUUCAUUCGCACACGUAAACAAGAAAAGUUCACACCACAAUUUAGAUAAUUCACAUGAUCAUCACAAGCAAACAGAUUAGAUGUCAACUUUUCAUCACACAAUCCCAAUUUUUCUUUGGGCUUACCUGGACUUACUUCUUGAUCAAUCUUGACAAUGAUAGGCUUAUGAGCAGAAAGAUAUUUCACAUUACUAUGUAAAACACAUUUAUCAACAAUCAAAUUAUGAUUUCCAAUCAGAUCAAGAUGAAAAACUUUCUCAUAAACUAAGUCUUUGCUAAUCUCGUCAUCAAGAAUCAAGUAAGAUUGAGAAGACUCAAAUACAGUAGAUCCCUUACAUGGCUUACCUUUAAGCACUUGUGGACUAGGGUCAUCUACGAUCUUACCUUUCUCGACUAAUCGAAAUCGUUUCUCCUUAGAAAAUUAUUGAAGUUGAAAUUGAUCGAUAGGAUUUCGAGAAACCUGAAAAGUAGAAACAAAACAAGGAAAAUUCAUAGGAUGGUUAGUAACAACACUCCUUUCUUUUUCACUUUCAUCCUUUUCAUUUCUUUCUUUUUCCAACUCAUUUUCAAAUCCUCUUUCUUUUACCAUAUCACUCAUUUCUUUUGCACUCUCGUUUCUUCCUUCAAUCUCACUCUCUUUUUCGGUUUCCUUUUCUUUUUCGCACUCGUUUUUAUUCUCAAUCUCAUUUUCAAUUUUCUUUUCUAUCUCCCACUCAUCUUCUUUUUCUUUCAUUUCUUUUUCAUGUUCAUUUUCUCGUUCGCACUCUUUUUCUUUUUCUUUUUCACAUGCUAUUUCAAUUCCAUUACAAAAGUAGAAAUCAUAAAAAUGAGAAGCCUUUCGUUGAGAAUAAGAAAAGGAUUCUUCAUACAAAUGGCAAUCUUCUCUUUGUGAUAGAUCUUCCGUAGCCAAGUAUUUUGACACUCUUGAAACACGUGCACCUCUUCGUAAAUAAUCCUUUGUAGAUGAAUAAAUUGAGGCACUUGUAGAGACACGUUUACUUUUUUGUUUAUCAUCUCGGAAGGACUCAAACUCGGAGUUUGCUUCUCUUGGUCUCGAACGCCUUGUUGAAUAGAAGUCUUGAUAAGAGUCUCUUGUCGAGUAGUAUCGUUGUGACGAUCUUUUCUUCGUCUCUUGACUUGAAGAAAUUUGCUCCCGUUGGAAUCGUUCAUCCAACUUCUUCAAUCGUUCUUUAAUUGGUUCCAAUUUUCUUUGAAGCAUUUGACCCACCUCGUGAAUAAUCGUUUGAUAUGUUGGGUCGAUCAAAACAUCGUCAUAUUCUUCAUCAUCAAUCCCUUCAAAACUUCUUGACAUCUUUUUUUUUUAAUCACACAACAAAACUCACACUUCUCUCACACAAAAAAAAAUUCACACUAUUUGGCUUUUACUUCUCUCGAAUGGUCUCACCAAUCGCUCUUGCCUUUUUCCACUCGAUUUUCACCCCUCAAAGUUCUUCGCAAACUAAGUCGACAAAUCAAUACCGUUUGGCGUCGGCUUACAAAAUUGAUUUGGCUUGGUGGGUAAUGAUGUCGGAAAUGGUAGGCUAUCAAACAAAAUAGGAAUGGUUAAGUGUGGCUAUAUAGAUAUGGUCCUUCGGGCAACAAGCAAUGCUUUUACAAACCCAAAAUGAAUUUCAAUCACUCUUUUUUUUUUCAAUUUCGAUUUUUUUUCUUUUUUUUUUAAUUCUGAAUUUUUUCUUCUUCUUCUUUUUUCUUCAAUACUAAAUACAAAAAGUAAAAAUAAAUUGAAUACAAACUUUUUUUUUGAAUUUUUUUUCGAAUUUUUUUUUCAAGUUUUUUUUUAUUUUUUUACAAUACCGUAAUACCGAUAACAUCGAUCUUACUUCAAUUCAGCUAGCUCUGAUACCAAAUGAUGUACCCUGGCUCAGGAAGGAGAGUCGAGUCGUAGAUGUGCCCGAUCGUGAAUUGGAGUAAUACUCGAGGGUGAACGAAAUAGGUUAAGAAAGAAGAGAUAAAGGCUCAAAUUUAAUUCAAAAGGGGUUAUGAAAUGUAUUGAGGAUGAUAGGUGAAUGAAAACCAAGUAUUCAAGUUGAACCAACACAAUAUAAGUGUGUUAACCCGAGACUUAUACGAAUACUUAGGAAAGGUUAAAUGUUGUAUGGAUGGAAAACGAAUAAAAUGGAACCUUGACCCACUAUCAAAGAUGAUAGGAACCUCGG